CGGUUAAGUGAAUAAGGGCGUACGGUGAAUGCCUUGGCACUAGGAGCCGAUGAAGGACGGGACGAACACCGAUAUGCUUCGGGGAGCUGUAAGUAAGCUUUGAUCCGGAGAUUUCCGAAUGGGGGAACCCCAUCAUCUUGAUCGAUGAUGACUUUCAAGUGAAUACAUAGCUUGUUAGAGGUAGACGCAGGGAACUGAAACAUCUCAGUACCUGUAGGAAGAGAAAGAAAAAUCGAUUUCCUGAGUAGCGGCGAGCGAAACGGAAAGAGCCCAAACCAAAGAGCUUGCUCUUUGGGGUUGUAGGACUGGGACCUAUGAUUUAGGCAGGUUAGUCGAAUGGCAUGGGAAGGCCAAUCAGAGAAGGUGAGAAUCCUGUAGACGAAAACCUAACUAACAUUACCAGUAUCCUGAGUACGACGGACCACGUGAAAUUCCGUCGGAAUCCGCCGGGACCAUCCGGCAAGGCUAAAUACUCCCUAGUGACCGAUAGUGAACCAGUACCGUGAGGGAAAGGU
rnacentral:rRNA from 1 species